rnacentral:rRNA from 1 species
UUAAAUUGAAGAGUUUGAUCAUGGCUCAGAUUGAACGCUGGCGGCAGGCCUAACACAUGCAAGUCGAACGGUAACAGGAAACAGCUUGCUGUUUCGCUGACGAGUGGCGGACGGGUGAGUAAUGUCUGGGAAACUGCCUGAUGGAGGGGGAUAACUACUGGAAACGGUAGCUAAUACCGCAUAACGUCGCAAGACCAAAGAGGGGGACCUUCGGGCCUCUUGCCAUCGGAUGUGCCCAGAUGGGAUUAGCUAGUAGGUGGGGUAACGGCUCACCUAGGCGACGAUCCCUAGCUGGUCUGAGAGGAUGACCAGCCACACUGGAACUGAGACACGGUCCAGACUCCUACGGGAGGCAGCAGUGGGGAAUAUUGCACAAUGGGCGCAAGCCUGAUGCAGCCAUGCCGCGUGUAUGAAGAAGGCCUUCGGGUUGUAAAGUACUUUCAGCGGGGAGGAAGGGAGUAAAGUUAAUACCUUUGCUCAUUGACGUUACCCGCAGAAGAAGCACCGGCUAACUCCGUGCCAGCAGCCGCGGUAAUACGGAGGGUGCAAGCGUUAAUCGGAAUUACUGGGCGUAAAGCGCACGCAGGCGGUUUGUUAAGUCAGAUGUGAAAUCCCCGGGCUCAACCUGGGAACUGCAUCUGAUACUGGCAAGCUUGAGUCUCGUAGAGGGGGGUAGAAUUCCAGGUGUAGCGGUGAAAUGCGUAGAGAUCUGGAGGAAUACCGGUGGCGAAGGCGGCCCCCUGGACGAAGACUGACGCUCAGGUGCGAAAGCGUGGGGAGCAAACAGGAUUAGAUACCCUGGUAGUCCACGCCGUAAACGAUGUCGACUUGGAGGUUGUGCCCUUGAGGCGUGGCUUCCGGAGCUAACGCGUUAAGUCGACCGCCUGGGGAGUACGGCCGCAAGGUUAAAACUCAAAUGAAUUGACGGGGGCCCGCACAAGCGGUGGAGCAUGUGGUUUAAUUCGAUGCAACGCGAAGAACCUUACCUGGUCUUGACAUCCACAGAACUUUCCAGAGAUGGAUUGGUGCCUUCGGGAACUGUGAGACAGGUGCUGCAUGGCUGUCGUCAGCUCGUGUUGUGAAAUGUUGGGUUAAGUCCCGCAACGAGCGCAACCCUUAUCCUUUGUUGCCAGCGGUCCGGCCGGGAACUCAAAGGAGACUGCCAGUGAUAAACUGGAGGAAGGUGGGGAUGACGUCAAGUCAUCAUGGCCCUUACGGCCAGGGCUACACACGUGCUACAAUGGCGCAUACAAAGAGAAGCGACCUCGCGAGAGCAAGCGGACCUCAUAAAGUGCGUCGUAGUCCGGAUUGGAGUCUGCAACUCGACUCCAUGAAGUCGGAAUCGCUAGUAAUCGUGGAUCAGAAUGCCACGGUGAAUACGUUCCCGGGCCUUGUACACACCGCCCGUCACACCAUGGGAGUGGGUUGCAAAAGAAGUAGGUAGCUUAACCUUCGGGAGGGCGCUUACCACUUUGUGAUUCAUGACUGGGGUGAAGUCGUAACAAGGUAACCGUAGGGGAACCUGCGGUUGGAUCACCUCCUUACCUUAAAGAAGC